UUUUUUUUUGGAUGAAAAUCCAUUAUCCAAUAUUUCAUAUUUGUAGAAAGCAGAAACUAGAAUGGUACAUUCAUUCUUUCUUGGACAUCACUCAUCACUUUCACUGCUAAAGCCUAAAUCUUCGUUUUCUAAUUGCAUGGCUACACCUACACAUUUGAAUUCUUGUUCUUCAACGACCUUCACAGCCUCUUCUUCAUUCACCAAUGACACACAUCAUCUAUCCAGUAGAUUCGUCAUUGUGCCCAGAAAACCUCAUUCCUUCGCAUGGGUCUCUCACUCUCAGACCCGUCUCAGAAUUCAUUCCAAAACCCACUUUCACCUCAAAUCCUCAAAUGGGCAUCCACUAAAUACUGUUUCUUUGCAAGAUGGUUCAGCUGGAACUCCUCUGCCCAAAAAACAUGUGGAGAGUCGAGGGAAAGAGGGAUCUCUUCCCUUCCCUGAAUCUGACAAUGCAGAAUCUACUCUCAGCAUAACUGUCGUUGGAGCUUCAGGAGACCUUGCCAAAAAGAAGAUAUUUCCAGCACUUUUUGCUCUUUAUUAUGAAGAUUGUCUGCCCAAGAAUUUUGUAGUGUUUGGUUAUGCUCGGACUAAAAUGACUGAUGAGGAGCUAAGGAACAUGAUUAGCAGAACCCUAACCUGCAGAAUUGAUAAGAGGGAAAAUUGUGAAGACAAAAUGGAUCAGUUCUUGAAAAGAUGCUUUUACCAUUCAGGACAGUAUAAUUCUGAGGAGCAUUUUGUAGAAUUAGACAAAAAGAUGAAAGAGAAAGAGGCUGGAAAACUGUCAAAUAGGUUGUUUUACUUGUCUGUACCUCCAAACAUAUUUGUUGAUGUCGUGAGAUGUGCUAGCCUUAGAGCUUCUUCAGAAAAUGGGUGGAUGAGGGUCAUUGUUGAAAAGCCAUUUGGUCGUGACUCGGAGUCAUCUGGUGAACUAACAAGAUGCUUGAAGCAGUACCUUACUGAAGAUCAAAUAUUCAGGAUUGACCAUUACUUGGGGAAGGAGCUUGUUGAGAAUCUAUCAGUGCUUCGCUUCUCAAAUCUUGUUUUUGAGCCUCUAUGGUCCCGGAACUACAUCCGCAAUGUGCAACUGAUAUUUUCUGAAGAUUUUGGCACUGAAGGUCGAGGGGGAUAUUUUGAUAACUAUGGAAUCAUACGAGAUAUAAUGCAAAAUCAUCUUCUGCAAAUACUAGCACUUUUUGCGAUGGAGACUCCUGUCAGCUUAGAUGCUGAGGAUAUCAGGAAUGAAAAGGUUAAGGUCCUAAGGUCAAUGAGACCACUGCAGCUUGAAGAUGUAGUUGUUGGUCAAUAUAAGGGCCACAGCAAGGGUGGGAAAUCAUAUCCUGCUUAUACAGAUGACCCCACAGUGCCAAAAGACAGUCUUACUGCAACCUUUGCAGCUGCAGCUCUCUUUAUUAAUAAUGCCAGAUGGGAUGGGGUUCCUUUCCUGAUGAAAGCUGGCAAGGCUCUCCAUACUAAGCGAGCAGAAAUUCGAGUUCAGUUCAGACAUGUACCUGGUAACUUGUACAAGCGAAAUUUUGGAACUGACUUAGGCAAGGCUACAAAUGAGCUUGUGCUUCGUGUGCAACCUGAUGAAGCCAUUUAUUUGAAGAUCAACAACAAAGUUCCUGGUCUUGGAAUGAGAUUAGAUCGCAGUGACUUAAAUUUGCUUUACCGUGCAAGGUAUCCCAGAGAAAUACCAGAUGCAUACGAGCGGCUACUUUUAGAUGCAAUAGAAGGGGAGCGGAGGUUGUUCAUUAGAAGUGAUGAGCUUGAUGCUGCUUGGACGCUAUUCACACCAUUGUUAAAUGAGCUUGAAGGGAAGAAGAUAGUUCCAGAGCUCUACCCAUAUGGUAGUAGAGGACCAGUUGGAGCACAUUAUCUUGCCGCCAAUCACAAUAUUCGAUGGGGAGAUCUCAGUGGUGAGGAUUCAUGAGUAGCAAAGAGUUCUCUGUUCUGAUUAUGUUGGAUGCUUACAAUGGACUCCUGUUUUUAUACAAGGAACUUUGGCUCAAUGUAUCGAGCUAGUGUCAAGAGGUAUUGAGAGAAACUUAGAAAAAGUUCGAUAGAAGUGACAUGUGCCGAGAGGUAUCCAGAUUGCUAUCAAGUUGGUAUCGAGAAGCAUAGAAACAUGAAUUUUGAAGAGAGAAAAGACAUAAAAAUUAUGCAAACAAGAUAAAACCAAAACCAACCAAACAUCAAUGCAUGAAAAGCAUGUUAAACACUCAAACAAAUCAAACUCUAAAGGCAAAGCACUCUAAAUUCCAAAACACUAAACAUGUCUAACCAAUUUUAUUUUUCAAAAACAAGUUAAGACAGUUUAGUUAGCUUUUACUAACACAUGUAUUCCUUGUCAUGGACAAUUCACAUUGUACCUGUACAAUUGUAUCAAUAGUAGCAAAGAAUUGCUGUUGUGUGUAAAACUUUUGCAAGUAAUCAUAAGUAUCUCAUCAUGUAAAAAUAAUGAUAUAAGAGAAUCAAGAAUGCUCACACACAAUCAUAACUA